GAUGGUGCCGAGGAAACCUGAAAACCAUCCCAGGAAGGGGGAGCCGGAGGAGGUCCCGAGGGAAGGCCUCGCUGGGUGCCGGUAACAGGGACUAUCACAGGCCACCCACAGACAAAGUCCUUCCACAGGUCACAGGAGCCACAACUGCCCAGCCCAACCCUGGGGAUCCAUCCUGUGGCCAAGGAGUACUGGUUCAAAACCACCUGUGUAACCCUGUUUCUUUUGUCUCUCUUUGCCUCCUGAGUGUACUGUAACCUGGCACAGCACACACAGCCCCACUGCUACGAAACCCCCAGUACACUCAAGACGUUCGAAGGCUGUUAUUUAGGUUGUGGCACAAGCAGGUGUUGGACCACAGUCAUCGGGCCUUUUGCUUUCUAAGAAACUCCCAAACCGACGUCCAGAGUGCCUGUGCCUUUCACCUCCCACCAGCAAAGCCCAUCCUUUUGAGUACCUGGGAGUCACCUCUGUGCUUCAGCCAGUGCUGCACGUGUAGCAAUGCCACAGUGUGCCUGCCGCGACAGGGUCCGUGACAGCUGGACGGGGACAUCCUCUCUGGAUACAGGCCAGAUGAGUCCAACGCUCAGGGGGCUGAGGCAGGAGGGUCAGCCUGAGCUACAUGGCAAGUUUGAGAGCAGCCUGCAACAUAGUGAGACGGACAGAAGGAACGAGAGGAAGAAAGGGAGAAAGGAGAGGCGUGACUCCUCAACAUUUGUCAGAGAGAUGUCCACAGAUGGGCCCGGGAGAGGGGUCAGAACCUGAGAGAAAUGGGCUGAGCAGAGGACCUGUCACAGGCCACAGAGGAAGAGGAGGCCACUGUUGGACCUUGUUCCCAGAUUCGAUUAGUGACGAUCCCUUGAAGCACGACACAGUCAUGAGUACUCACUGGAGAACUUUAUUUUCUGGCCGGGACCCAUGUGCACUCCAACCAAGCCGGAGGACAAAAGGCCCCAACUGAAAUGAGGACUGCAUAUUUAAAGGGAAAAACUACAGAAAAAGUCCCUCCUCCCAUUCCCCCGGGUAACGCUGUGUUGCAGAUCACCUGAAGCACAGUUUGCUUGUUUUACCUUGAAGUUAUAUGCAUCGGUUAGGGGUGGGGUUUUCUCCCAGGAGACAGAGUGCAGCUGGAAGUCACAUAUUUGCAAAAUGGAGGACAAUGUUCUCAACAUGGCGCUGGUAUUGCUAAGCUGCUGAGUUGGGUCUCACAGCCACCAAACAGAUGGACCAGAAAGGCUUGGCCAAGUGCUGAGCAGUUCUGCGGGGCCACCUGGUUGUCCACUACUAUGAGCUGAGGGCCACACAAGGGUCCUUGCACCCACUUGCAAACCCCAAGGCUCCACGGCUGCUGACAAGGAAAACUGUGGACCGUGCUGCAGACAGAGCCCUGUGGCAACAGGGGUCCCAGGUGAGGAAGGCACGAGUGAUCUGGGCUGUCACAGCAACAGUCAGGACUGUCACCGCUGGCAGGCAGAGCUUCCAGACCAGUCACCAGGACACCAGGCUGCAUUCCUGCGAAUCUGACUAAAGGGAACAGGUGGCUUCCUGGCAGGUCAGCAUGGAUAAUGGUGGCUUCCUGGCUGGUUCCCUGACUUGUCACCAUAGACAACGCUUGGCUUCCUGGCAGGUCACCAUGGAUGUUUCUCUGGUUGUCACCAUGAAUAACUGUCAGUUCCCUUGUUGACCACUGACCAGCCAGAGAACCAACCAUUACCCACAACUACUUACCCACUCUCAUUUGCCAACGCACCACCUUACUUAUCCAACUGCUGACCUGGACCUCAUAACAAACUCUCUGUGUACAGCAUCCAGUCUGGACCUCUUGAUGCUGAGCCUUACAGAGCAUCCAGGAGGCUUUUAUAAGUGAAGGACUUUGCAGAGAAACAGAGAGCUCUCUCUGGGGUGUAUGCUGCAAGUAUUUUCUGCUCUCUUGGUUUAGUCUUAAUUUUAUGAUGUUUCCUAUCAUGCAACUUUAUUUGUACAAAAUCCAGUUUACCAAUCCUUUUUCUUAAUGCCCCUGCAUUUUGAGUUAUACCCUUGCCUAAAACAGGAAAUCGUCUGUAUCUUCUGCUAGUACUGGUAUGGUUGCACUUUUCACCACCUGAUCUAACUGGAUUUCAUUCUUGCACAUGGAAAGAGAUGCGGAUCUAAUUUCAUCUUCUUCCAAAUGGCAGUCCAGCUGUCUCAGCACCAUUUUUUAGAAGAUGAAUCUCUGCCUGGUGACCUGACACCUCUGCCACUUGCGGAGUUUCCACACACGCUUGGGACUGUCUUGGAUUCUCUUUUCUACACCACUGGCCUAUU
rnacentral:lncRNA from 1 species